CAGGCUUAACACAUGCAAGUCGAGGGGCAUCAGGAAGAAAGCUUGCUUUCUUUGCUGGCGACCGGCGCACGGGUGAGUAACACGUAUCCAACCUGCCCUUUACUCGGGGAUAGCCUUUCGAAAGAAAGAUUAAUACCCGAUGGCAUAAUGAUUCCGCAUGGUUUCAUUAUUAAAGGAUUCCGGUAAAGGAUGGGGAUGCGUUCCAUUAGGUUGUUGGUGAGGUAACGGCUCACCAAGCCUUCGAUGGAUAGGGGUUCUGAGAGGAAGGUCCCCCACAUUGGAACUGAGACACGGUCCAAACUCCUACGGGAGGCAGCAGUGAGGAAUAUUGGUCAAUGGGCGCUAGCCUGAACCAGCCAAGUAGCGUGAAGGAUGAAGGCUCUAUGGGUCGUAAACUUCUUUUAUAUAAGAAUAAAGUGCAGUACGUAUACUGUUUUGUAUGUAUUAUAUGAAUAAGGAUCGGCUAACUCCGUGCCAGCAGCCGCGGUAAUACGGAGGAUCCGAGCGUUAUCCGGAUUUAUUGGGUUUAAAGGGAGCGUAGGUGGACUGGUAAGUCAGUUGUGAAAGUUUGCGGCUCAACCGUAAAAUUGCAGUUGAUACUGUCAGUCUUGAGUACAGUAGAGGUGGGCGGAAUUCGUGGUGUAGCGGUGAAAUGCUUAGAUAUCACGAAGAACUCCGAUUGCGAAGGCAGCUCACUGGACUGCAACUGACACUGAUGCUCGAAAGUGUGGGUAUCAAACAGGAUUAGAUACCCUGGUAGUCCACACAGUAAACGAUGAAUACUCGCUGUUUGCGAUAUACAGUAAGCGGCCAAGCGAAAGCAUUAAGUAUUCCACCUGGGGAGUACGCCGGCAACGGUGAAACUCAAAGGAAUUGACGGGGGCCCGCACAAGCGGAGGAACAUGUGGUUUAAUUCGAUGAUACGCGAGGAACCUUACCCGGGCUUAAAUUGCAGUGGAAUGAUGUGGAAACAUGUCAGUGAGCAAUCACCGCUGUGAAGGUGCUGCAUGGUUGUCGUCAGCUCGUGCCGUGAGGUGUCGGCUUAAGUGCCAUAACGAGCGCAACCCUUAUCUUUAGUUACUAACAGGUUAUGCUGAGGACUCUAGAGAGACUGCCGUCGUAAGAUGUGAGGAAGGUGGGGAUGACGUCAAAUCAGCACGGCCCUUACGUCCGGGGCUACACACGUGUUACAAUGGGGGGUACAGAAGGCAGCUAGCGGGUGACCGUAUGCUAAUCCCAAAAGCCUCUCUCAGUUCGGAUCGAAGUCUGCAACCCGACUUCGUGAAGCUGGAUUCGCUAGUAAUCGCGCAUCAGCCACGGCGCGGUGAAUACGUUCCCGGGCCUUGUACACACCGCCCGUCAAGCCAUGGGAGCCGGGGGUACCUGAAGUACGUAACCGCAAGGAUCGUCCUAGGGUAAAACUGGUGACUGGGGC
rnacentral:rRNA from 1 species